rnacentral:rRNA from 1 species
GACAGAGGGUGCAAACGUUGUUCGGAAUUACUGGGCGUAAAGCGCGUGUAGGCUACUCGGAAAGUCGGAUGUGAAAGCCCUGGGCUCAACCUAGGAAGUGCAUUCGAAACUCCCGAGCUGGAGUCCUGGAGAGGAAGGCGGAAUUCUCGGUGUAGAGGUGAAAUUCGUAGAUAUCGAGAGGAACACCGGUGGCGAAGGCGGCCUUCUGGACAGUGACUGACGCUGAGACGCGAAAGCGUGGGGAGCAAACAGG